AUGUCCGGCCGCGGCAAGGGAGGGAAGGGGCUGGGCAAGGGCGGCGCCAAGCGCCACCGGAAGGUGCUCCGGGACAACAUCCAGGGCAUCACCAAGCCGGCCAUCCGCCGUCUGGCGCGCAGGGGCGGCGUGAAGCGCAUCUCGGGGCUCAUCUACGAGGAGACCCGCGGCGUGCUCAAGAUCUUCCUGGAGAACGUCAUCCGCGACGCCGUCACCUACACCGAGCACGCCCGCCGCAAGACCGUCACCGCCAUGGACGUCGUCUACGCCCUCAAGCGCCAGGGACGCACCCUCUACGGAUUCGGCGGCUAG
rnacentral:rRNA from 1 species